UACAGAGGAGCCAAGCGUUGUCCGGAUUGACUGGGCGUAAAGCGCACGCAGGCGGAUGCGCGCGUGGGGUGUGAAAUCUGGCCGCUUAACGGCCAGGCGCCAUCCCAUACGGCGUGUCUGGAGGGUUGCAGAGGUCGAUGGAAUUGCCGGUGUAGUGGUGAAAUGCGUAGAUAUCGGAAGGAACACCUGUGGCGAAAGCGGCUCACUGGACCAUUACUGACGCUGAGGCACGAAAGCUAGGGGAGCAAACAGG
rnacentral:rRNA from 1 species